rnacentral:rRNA from 1 species
CCUACGGGUGGCAGCAGUGAGGAAUAUUGGUCAAUGGACGAGAGUCUGAACCAGCCAAGUAGCGUGAAGGAUGACUGCCCUAUGGGUUGUAAACCUCUUUUAUAUGGGAAUAAAAUGUUCCACGUGUGGGAUUUUGUAUGUACCAUAUGAAUAAGGAUCGGCUAACUCCGUGCCAGCAGCCGCGGUAAUACGGAGGAUCCGAGCGUUAUCCGGAUUUAUUGGGUUUAAAGGGAGCGUAGGUGGAUUGUUAAGUCAGUUGUGAAAGUUUGCGGCUCAACCGUAAAAUUGCAGUUGAAACUGGCAGUCUUGAGUACAGUAGAGGUAGGCGGAAUGCGUGGUGUAGCGGUGAAAUGCUUAGAUAUCACGAAGAACUCCGAUUGCGAAGGCAGUUCACUGGACUGCAACUGACACUGAGGCUCGAAAGUGUGGGUAUCAAACAGGAUUAGAUACCCGAGUAGUC